CCUACGGGUGGCAGCAGUGGGGAAUAUUGGACAAUGGGGGGAACCCUGAUCCAGCCAUGCCGCGGGGGUGAAGAAGGCCCUCGGGUUGUAAAGCACUUUCAGUGAGGAAGAACGCCUGGUGGUUAAUACCCAUCAGGAAAGACAUCACUCACAGAAGAAGCACCGGCUAACUCCGUGCCAGCAGCCGCGGUAAUACGGAGGGUGCGAGCGUUAAUCGGAAUUACUGGGCGUAAAGCGCGCGUAGGUGGCUUGAUAAGCCGGUUGUGAAAGCCCCGGGCUCAACCUGGGAACGGCAUCCGGAACUGUCAAGCUAGAGUGCAGGAGAGGAAGGUAGAAUUCCCGGUGUAGCGGUGAAAUGCGUAGAGAUCGGGAGGAAUACCAGUGGCGAAGGCGGCCUUCUGGACUGACACUGACACUGAGGUGCGAAAGCGUGGGUAGCAAACAGGAUUAGAUACCCGUGUAGUC
rnacentral:rRNA from 1 species